CACGGACCCCCGGACACACCAGAGGUGGGAUCAGGUGCCUAGGAGGAGUAACCAAUUGAAUUUGUUUUCAUGGAUUGAAAUUUGUAUAUAUAAAAUGCUUGGCGUUUGUUAAAAAAAUCAUUUAUUUUCCAUCCACUAUCUGAGAAAUGUUUGUGUAGAUUGCAUGAUGUGUUUGAAGGCAUACAACUUAAGAAAUCACUUUUUAAAAUUUUUGGAGGCCACAUUAGUCCAUGAUUCUGUAUGAAAAUCCCACAGAUAUGCUUGCAGCAUGGCAAGGUAGAUACGGCUAUGCAGGUUUAGGACACGAUAUGGUGGUACUUUAUAUAGCCUACAGAAACUAAUUUGCAGGACGGUCCUAUAUAUAGCCUACAUAAACUAAGCUGUAUGGUGUCUUGUACAUAGUCAAUGUCUAUUUACUCACUAAUGGACUACUCGUGGCCAUUAAGAAAAUGUUUGUAAAUGUAUGGACUUUUAAAAUUUGAAACUGUAUUAUUUGCCUGUAUAAGAAGAUGCAAGUAUUGUGUAUGUAAUAUAUUUCUUUGCAGAUGUUUUGUAUGGAAUGUGGUUCGAAGCUUGACGCAAAGUCAAAAUUUUGUGCUAAUUGUGGUACCAAAUGUACCAAGGUACCUUUGGCCUCUGAAGAAACAGAUCCUGGUGCAAAAGAAAGCUUAGCAAAAUUGAAGGAGAAGUAUGGUUUUGGGCAUGUUGGAAGAAAAUCGAAACUGGGGUCCAAAAAGAGAAAUUGUGAAAUAAAAGAAUUGUUAAUCCAUGUU